rnacentral:lncRNA from 1 species
UACCAGCGCUCGGUGAGGGCGGGCGGCACUCGGUGUGGUGACGAAUUUUAGUUGAAAUACCGCUGUUGUCUUUAAAAGUGCCGGCCUGUCUGGUCAGCCGUCUGAGGCGGCGCCGCCACCCCUCUGUCGCCUGGACGGCCACCGGAGAGGAGUCGGGCCCCGCCACCGGUCCCGCGUCCCAUCGACCUGUCAUGCUCGCAACGCAUUGCGUUGUGUGAUCAGCCGUCUGGGGCGGUGCCGCCACCCCUCUGUGUUCGCUGGACGACCACCGGGAGAGAGAGAGAGAGAGCGCGCCCCCGGUCCGGUGUCGGACCGACCUGUCAACAAACAGACUCGGAACGCUCAUGUGCGGCAGUACGUGCGUCGCCGUUGGUACCGAGACUGGAAACGUCCAUCUGCCGGUCAAAACUGGACUGCGGCCGACGGGAACUCCAGAUCUCUCACAGCUCGCGGGUUGGUGAACCAGCUUGAUUGGGAAUCUCCGGCGACCUCACACCUGGACGAAAG